CGGUGUGUGAUGAGGUGGCAGUGUAUUGUUAGCUGGUUGAAUAUGUGUGUGAUAUCAGCUAACAUACAACUGCUAUCUUAUUGCAUUUACA
rnacentral:pre_miRNA from 14 species